rnacentral:rRNA from 1 species
UACGAAGGGGGCUAGCGUUGUUCGGAAUCACUGGGCGUAAAGCGCACGUAGGCGGAUCUUUAAGUCGGGGGUGAAAUCCCGAGGCUCAACCUCGGAACUGCCUUUGAUACUGGGGAUCUCGAGUCCGGGAGAGGUGAGUGGAACUGCGAGUGUAGAGGUGAAAUUCGUAGAUAUUCGCAAGAACACCAGUGGCGAAGGCGGCUCACUGGCCCGGAACUGACGCUGAGGUGCGAAAGCG